CGUAGAGAAAUCGAGUCUUAAUAGGGCGUUUAGUUGCUGGGUAUAGACCCGAAACCAGGCGAUCUAUCCAUGAGCAGGUUGAAGGUUGGGUAACACUAACUGGAGGACCGAACCCACUGUCGUUGAAAAGCCAGGGGAUGACUUGUGGAUAGGGGUGAAAGGCUAAUCAAGCCUGGUGAUAGCUGGUUCUCCCCGAAAGCUAUUUAGGUAGCGCCUCGGACGAAUACCAUAGGGGGUAGAGCACUGUUUCGGCUAGGGGGUCAUCCCGACUUACCAAACCGAUGCAAACUCCGAAUACCUAUGAGUACUAUCCGGGAGACAGACUGCGGGUGCUAACGUCCGUAGUCAAGAGGAAAACAAUCCAGACCGCCAGCUAAGGCCCCAAAAUCAUAGUUAAGUGGGAAACGAUGUGGGAAGGCAUAGACAGCUAGGAGGUUGGCUUAGAAGCAGCCACCCUUUAAAGAAAGCGUAAUAGCUCACUAGUCGAGUCGGCCUGCGCGGAAGAUGUAACGGGGCUAAAACUAUGUGCCGAAGCUGCGGAUGUAUACUUUGUAUACGUGGUAGGGGAGCGUUCUGUAAGCCGAUGAAGGUGUGUUGAGAAGCAUGCUGGAGGUAUCAGAAGUGCGAAUGCUGACGUGAGUAACGACAAAACGGGUGAAAAACCCGUUCGCCGAAAGACCAAGGGUUCCAGUCCAACGUUAAUCGGGACUGGGUGAGUCGACCCCUAAGGCGAGGCCGAAAGGCGUAGUCGAUGGGAAAAUGGUUAAUAUUCCAUUACUUCUGUGUAAUGCGAUGAGAGGACGGAGAAGGCUAAAUCAGCCUGGCGUUGGUUGUCCAGGUGAAAGGAUGUAGGCAUGUAUCUUAGGCAAAUCCGGGGUACUCUAUGCUGAGAUCUGAUAGCAAGCUGUACUUGUACAGCGAAGUGGUUGAUGCCAUGCUUCCAGGAAAAGUCUCUAAGCUUCAGUUACACAGGAAUCGUACCCGAAACCGACACAGGUGGUCAGGUCGAGUAGACCAAGGCGCUUGAGAGAACUCUGCUGAAGGAACUAGGCAAAAUGGUACCGUAACUUCGGGAGAAGGUACGCUGUUGUUGGUGAUGGAACUCGCUUCCUGAGCUGACGACAGCCGCAGAAACCAGGCCGCUGCAACUGUUUAUUAAAAACAUAGCACUCUGCAAACACGAAAGUGGACGUAUAGGGUGUGAUGCCUGCCCGGUGCUGGAAGGUUAAUUGAUGGGGUUAGCGUAAGCGAAGCUCUUGAUCGAAGCCCCAGUAAACGGCGGCCGUAACUAUAACGGUCCUAAGGUAGCGAAAUUCCUUGUCGGGUAAGUUCCGACCUGCACGAAUGGCAUAAUGAUGGCGGCGCUGUCUCCAGCAGAGGCUCAGUGAAAUCGAAAUCGCUGUGAAGAUGCAGUGUACCCGCGGCUAGACGGAAAGACCCCGUGAACCUUUACUGCAGCUUGACACUGAACUUUGACCUUACUUGUGUAGGAUAGGUGGGAGGCUUUGAAGCUGGAACGCUAGUUCCAGUGGAGCCGUCCUUGAAAUACCACCCUGGUAAUGUUGAGGUUCUAACUCUGUCCCGUGAUCCGGGACGAGGACCGUGUCUGGUGGGUAGUUUGACUGGGGCGGUCUCCUCCUAAAGAGUAACGGAGGAGUACGAAGGUGCGCUCAGCGUGGUCGGAAAUCACGCGUAGAGUAUAAAGGCAAAAGCGCGCUUAACUGCGAGACCCACAAGUCGAGCAGGUACGAAAGUAGGUCUUAGUGAUCCGGUGGUUCUGUAUGGAAGGGCCAUCGCUCAACGGAUAAAAGGUACUCUGGGGAUAACAGGCUGAUACCGCCCAAGAGUUCAUAUCGACGGCGGUGUUUGGCACCUCGAUGUCGGCUCAUCUCAUCCUGGGGCUGAAGCAGGUCCCAAGGGUAUGGCUGUUCGCCAUUUAAAGAGGUACGCGAGCUGGGUUUAGAACGUCGUGAGACAGUUCGGUCCCUAUCUACCGUGGGCGCUGGAAAUUUGAGAGGAUCUGCUCCUAGUACGAGAGGACCAGAGUGGACGAACCUCUGGUGUACCGGUUGUGACGCCAGUCGCAUCGCCGGGUAGCUAUGUUCGGAAGGGAUAACCGCUGAAAGCAUCUAAGCGGGAAGCCUACCUCAAGAUAAGAUUUCCCUAGGACUUUAUGUCCUCUAAAGAGCCGUUCGAGACUAGGACGUUGAUAGGUUGGAUGUGGAAGCAUAGUGAUAUGUGAAGCUGACCAAUACUAAUUGCUCGUGAGGCUUGACUAU
rnacentral:rRNA from 1 species